rnacentral:lncRNA from 1 species
GUGUUUACCUCUUUAUGAGAAUUUAAUAAAGGGUUUCCUCAACAGAGUUCUUUGGCAUUCUGUCCACCUCUCUUUUUAUUCAAAAAGGGUAAAAGAAAAAGGAAAGAAACUGCCUUUAUGCACAUUGAGGGUGUAGUUUGACAAAGGAUAAACAAAUUUACCAUUUUGUGUGACUAGUGUCUAGUGUGAAAGAAAAUAAAAAGAUCACAUAGAUGAUAACUUUAUAUGUUUUGUACAGUGUAGUUUGUAGAAGAUGGAAGAGAAAGAUGACAGCUUUAUGUGUUUUGUGUGUAGUAUGAAGAAGAAAGAAAUGAAAGACUUGACUUUAUCUGUUUUGACAUUAGGGUGUAGUGUGAAGAAGAAAUGAAAGAAAAAAGAUAGAUAUAUUUUUUUGGUUUUUGUGUAGGAUGGAGGUGGGCAUACUGCCAAUGGAGCUCUGUUGGUAUCUCUUUGUAAAACUCUCGUGAUGAUACUAUAUUGUUAACAUCUCACACUUCUCUUAUUACACACCAAAAUCAGGUAACAUUACAAUCUCCCUUAUGUCUUUUGUUGGAUGGUAUUUUUUGUUUUGUUUCGUAGGCUUCUUAUAUUCAAUUGUAAUAUUUGGGAAAUCAUGCAUAGUUUUGCAUGAUCUUUAUGGGUGUUUCUGAUCUUGAUUCAACAUGAAUCUUGUUUUAUUUGUGUGUUUAUGUGCCAUCUUACUUCUCUUUCUUUGAUUCUUAUUUUCAUAAAAAUUCUUUAAGAAAUCAUACACUUGUUUGGCCUUUGUGGAUAUAUGUUUCUGAUACUUGUUCACAAUGGAUUUUGUUUUCUUUUGAUGGAUGUUACUCUUUUGUUUCUUUUCUUAUAUUCACAUGAAUCUUCAAGAAAUCAUGUAUGCUUGUUUGACCUUUGUAGUGUUUUAUAUCUUUAAUUUAUUUUGGCUUGUGUGAUACUAAGCUUUAGCUUCUUAGAUUCUCUUGAAAAUUUUAAGAAAUCAUGCAUACUUGUUUGGCCUUUGUAGGUGUUUUAUAUCCUUAAUUCAGUUUGUUUUGUGUGAGACUAAGCUUUUGUUUCUUUUGAAUUCUUAAAUAUAGUUGAAAUCUUUAAGAAAUCAUGCUUGCUUGUUUAACCUUUGUAGGUGUAUUAUGUCUUUGAUUGAAUUUGGCUUUUGUGAGACAAAGCUUUUGUUUCUAUGACUUCUUAUAUUCACUUGAAAUCCUUAAGAAAUCCAUGCAUGCUUGUUUGGCUUUUCUGGGUGUUUCAGAUCUGAUUCAACAUGGAUGCUAUAUGUUUUUUUCUUUCUACUCUAAAAUCUUUUAGAGAUCAUGCAUGUUUGACCUUUAUGGUGUAAUGAUUCUUUGCAAAAAGAAGAGAUCAUCAUUAAAAGCUUCCACAUUUACUUCUGUGAGUCCUACCCUUUGACUCUCC